rnacentral:rRNA from 1 species
GAUGAACGCUGACAGAAUGCUUAACACAUGCAAGUCUACUUGAAUUUGGGUUUUUUAACUUAGAUUUGGGUGGCGGACGGGUGAGUAACGCGUAAAGAACUUGCCUCACAGCUAGGGACAACAUUUGGAAACGAAUGCUAAUACCUGAUAUUAUGAUUUUAAGGCAUCUUAGAAUUAUGAAAGCUAUACGCGCUGUGAGAGAGCUUUGCGUCCCAUUAGCUAGUUGGAGAGGUAACGGCUCACCAAGGCGAUGAUGGGUAGCCGGCCUGAGAGGGUGAACGGCCACAAGGGGACUGAGACACGGCCCUUACUCCUACGGGAGGCAGCAGUGGGGAAUAUUGGACAAUGGACCAAGAGUCUGAUCCAGCAAUUCUGUGUGCACGAUGACGUUUUUCGGAAUGUAAAGUGCUUUCAGUUGGGAAGAAAAAAAUGACGGUACCAACAGAAGAAGUGACGGCUAAAUACGUGCCAGCAGCCGCGGUAAUACGUAUGUCACAAGCGUUAUCCGGAUUUAUUGGGCGUAAAGCGCGUCUAGGUGGUUAUGUAAGUCUGAUGUGAAAAUGCAGGGCUCAACUCUGUAUUGCGUUGGAAACUGUGUAACUAGAGUACUGGAGAGGUAAGCGGAACUACAAGUGUAGAGGUGAAAUUCGUAGAUAUUUGUAGGAAUGCCGAUGGGGAAGCCAGCUUACUGGACAGAUACUGACGCUGAAGCGCGAAAGCGUGGGUAGCAAACAGG